rnacentral:rRNA from 1 species
UACGUAGGGUGCAAGCGUUGUCCGGAAUUAUUGGGCGUAAAGAGCUCGUAGGCGGUCUGUCACGUCGGCUGUGAAAUCCCGAGGCUCAACCUCGGGUCUGCAGUCGAUGCGGGCAAACUAGAGUAUUGCAGGGGAGACUGGAAAUUCCUGGUGUAGCGGUGAAAUGCGCAGAUAUCAGGAGGAACACCGGUGGCGAAGGCGGGUCUCUGGGCAAUAACUGACGCUGGAGGAGCGAAAAGCGUGGGGAGCGAACAGG